ACUGUAGUUCAGUUGGUAGAAUACCUACACGUACUCUUAUCGCUUGUUGCCUUGUUAGUUUAAUUAAAAUUUCAGUAAGUGCCGUAGACUAGAGUUACUUCGACUGUGAUUCUGGCGGUCGCCGGUUCGAAUCCGGCCAUCAGUG
rnacentral:tRNA from 1 species